rnacentral:rRNA from 1 species
GAACGAGAAAGCAUCUUUCGGGAUGUGAGUAAAGUGGCGAACGGGUGAGUAACACGUAGGUAACCUGCCUGUAAGUUUGGGAUAACAUGCCUAACGGCGUGCUAAUACCGAAUGAAGCACUGGGAUUAAUUUUCAGUGUUAAAGAUAUCCUUUGGUUAUCGCUUACAGAUGGGCCUGCGGCUCAUUAGCUAGUUGGUAGGGUAACGGCUUACCAAGGCAACGAUGGGUAGCCGGCCUGAGAGGGUGGUCGGCCACACUGGGACUGAGAUACGGCCCAGACUCCUACGGGAGGCAGCAGUAAGGAAUAUUGCGCAAUGGUCGCAAGACUGACGCAGCAACGCCGCGUGGAUGAUGAAGCUCUAUGGAGUGUAAAGUCCUGUUAGAAGGGAAGAACAGUACGGAGUCAAAGCUUCGUGCAUGACGGUACCUUCAGAGAAAGCCCCGGCUAACUCCGUGCCAGCAGCCGCGGUAAUACGGGGGGGGCAAGCGUUGUCCGGAAUUACUGGGCGUAAAGGGCGCGUAGGUGGAAUUGUAAGUUAGAGGUGAAAGCCAGCAGCUUAACCGCUGGUCUGCCUUUAAUACUGCAGUUCUUGAGUGCGAAAGAGGGAAGCGGAAUUCUUGGUGUAGCGGUGAAAUGCGUAGAUAUCAAGAAGAACACCGGUAGCGUAGGCGGCUUCCUGGUUCGUAACUGACACUGAGGCGCGAAAGUGUGGGGAGCAAACAGGAUUAGAUACCCUGGUAGUCCACACCGUAAACGAUGGAUACUAGGUGUAGGGUUUCACGACUCAGUGCCGAAGUUAACGCAUUCAGUAUCCCGCCUGGGGAGUACGAUCGCAAGGUUG